AAAAUUCAUGUCUCAUAAAAGUUGGUAUUAAGUGUUAUUUUAUGAUUUUUUAAAUAUUGGGUCCUAUUAUUGUUUACUCUCUUUUAAAAUUUAAAAAAUUACAAGCGUGGGUUAAGUCAGUUGACCGUGACAGUUACCUCAUUCCUUUGCACUCAAGUACGAGUUCCCCUUCCGUAAAUUAGAUUAAUUUAAAGUAAUUUAUGAAAAUUUUAAAGAUUAUAUUAGCUUUUCU
rnacentral:lncRNA from 1 species